UUAGUACCCCUCCGUCCGAAAAUACUUGUCAUCAAAAUGAAUAAAAAUGGAUGUAUCUAAAACUAAAAUACGUCUAGAUACAUCUUCUUUUAUUUAUUUUGAUGACAAGUAUUUCCGGACGGAGGGAAUAUAAA
rfam:Triticum aestivum genome assembly, contig: Triticum_aestivum_CS42_TGACv1_scaffold_129557_2BL